UACGUAGGUGGCAAGCGCUGUCCGGAUUUACUGGGCGUAAAGAGCGCGCAGGCGGUCGGAUCAGUCGAAUGUGAAAGCCCCCGGCUCAACUGGGGAGGGUCAUUCGAUACUGUUCGACUCGAAGGCAGGAGAGGGAAGCGGAAUUCCCGGUGUAGUGGUGAAAUGCGUAGAUAUCGGGAGGAACACCAGUGGCGAAGGCGGCUUUCUGGCCUGUUCUUGACGCUGAGGCGCGAAAGCUAGGGGAGCGAACGGG
rnacentral:rRNA from 1 species